AUGAACGUUGGCGGUGUGCCUAAUACAUGCAAGUCGAACGAAGAUGAUAGCAAUAUUGUCUUAGUGGCGAACGGGUGAGUAACGCGUUGGUGAUCUGCCCCGAAGUGUGGAAUAACAAUUCGAAAGAAUUGCUAAUACCGCAUGUGAUCUUGGAGAUUAGAACCUCUUUGAUUAAAGGAUUUAUUCGCUUCGGGAGGGGCCUGCGUCCCAUCAGCUAGUUGGUAGGGUAAUGGCCUACCAAGGCUUUGACGGGUAGGGGACCUGAGAGGGUGGCCCCCCGCAAUGGAACUGAAACACGGUCCAUACACCUACGGGUGGCAGCAGUAGGGAAUAUUGGUUAAUCUGGGAAACCGGGAACCAGCAACGCCGCGUGCACGAUGAAGGCCUUCGGGUUGUAAAGUGCUUUUUGAAAGGAUGAGGAAGGACAGUACUUUCAGAAUAAGCUUCGGCUAACUACGU
rnacentral:rRNA from 1 species